rnacentral:rRNA from 1 species
GAUGAACGCUGGCGGCGUGCCUAAUACAUGCAAGUCGAGCGAAUGGAUUGAGAGCUUGCUCUUAUGAAGUUAGCGGCGGACGGGUGAGUAACACGUGGGUAACCUGCCCAUAAGACUGGGAUAACUCCGGGAAACCGGGGCUAAUACCGGAUAACAUUUUGAACCGCAUGGUUCGAAAUUGAAAGGCGGCUUCGGCUGUCACUUAUGGAUGGACCCGCGUCGCAUUAGCUAGUUGGUGAGGUAACGGCUCACCAAGGCAACGAUGCGUAGCCGACCUGAGAGGGUGCUCGGCAAAACUGGGACUGAGACACGGCCCAGACGCCUACGGGAGGCAGCAGUAGGGAAGCUUCCGCAAUGGACGAAAGUCUGACGGAGAAACGCCGCGUGAGUGAUGAAGGCUUUCGGGCCGUAAAACUCUGUUGUUAGGGAAGAACAAGUGCUAGUUGAAUAAGCUGGCACCUUGACGGUACCUAACCAGAAAGCCACGGCUAACUACGUGCCAGCCGCCGCCGUAA